AUUGAACGCUGGCGGCAUGCUUUACACAUGCGAGUCGAACGGUAACAGGCCGCAAGGUGCUGACGAGUGGCGAACGGGUGAGUAAUGCAUCGGAACGUGCCCAGUCGUGGGGGAUAACGCAGCGAAAGCUGCGCUAAUACCGCAUACGAUCUAUGGAUGAAAGCGGGGGACCGAAAGGCCUCGCGCGAUUGGAGCGGCCGAUGUCAGAUUAGGUAGUUGGUGGGGUAAAGGCUCACCAAGCCAACGAUCUGUAGCUGGUCUGAGAGGACGACCAGCCACACUGGGACUGAGACACGGCCCAGACUCCUACGGGAGGCAGCAGUGGGGAAUUUUGGACAAUGGGCGCAAGCCUGAUCCAGCAAUGCCGCGUGCAGGAAGAAGGCCUUCGGGUUGUAAACUGCUUUUGUACGGAACGAAACGGCUCUGGUUAAUACCUGGGGCUAAUGACGGUACCGUAAGAAUAAGCACUGGCUAACUACGUGCCAGCCGCCGCAGUAACAC
rnacentral:rRNA from 1 species